CUCUAUUGAGGAUAGAACAGGCAGCUAUCACACCUAAGUGGUCUUUUGAGAGAUGCAGGAGUGCCGACCUGCCAAUAGAG
rnacentral:ncRNA from 1 species